rnacentral:misc_RNA from 1 species
GAUGAAGAACGUAGCGAAAUGCGAUAAGUAGUGUGAAUUGCAGAAUUCAGUGAAUCAUCGAAUCUUUGAACGCACAUUGCGCCCCUUGGUAUUCCAUGGGGCAUGCCUGUUCGAGCGUCAUUUGUACCUUCAAGCUCUGCUUGGUGUUGGGUGUUUGUCCUUGCUCUAGUGGCGGGACUCGCCUUAAAGUAAUUGGCAGCCAGUGUUUUGGUUUUGAAGCGCAGCACAAGUCGCGAUUCAAGUCUAUACGCUAGUUUCCACAAGUCUUUUAUCACUUUUGACCUCGGAUCAGGUAGGGAUAGCCGCUGAACUUAAGCAUAUCAAUAAGCGGAGGA